GCAUUGAUGGUGUAAUGGCAACAUUGCUGUCUUCCACGCGUUUUGAUUGAACAGUUUCUGAUGGAAAUAGUUUAAAGAAACACCUUCAUGGAGACAUAAUUAACAGCAGCCCCGGGUUCGAUUCCCGGUCAAUGCA